rnacentral:rRNA from 1 species
UACGUAGGGUGCGAGCGUUGUCCGGAAUUAUUGGGCGUAAAGAGCUCGUAGGCGGCUUGUCGCGUCGGAUGUGAAAGCCCGGGGCUUAACUCCGGGUCUUCAUUCGAUACGGGCAGGCUAGAGUGUGGUAGGGGAGAUCGGAAUUCCUGGUGUAGCGGUGAAAUGCGCAGAUAUCAGGAGGAACACCGGUGGCGAAGGCGGAUCUCUGGGCCAUUACUGACGCUGAGGAGCGAAAGCGUGGGGAGCGAACAGG